UUGAAUUGUUUUUACUGUUGUUGCAUAUGUGAAAUGAAAUUUAUUCUUCUACUAUGUGCUAGCCUGCAAUACAUGAUAUGCACACGUGCCACCAUUGGUUCAUGUUGUACUAUGUGAUCUGCUUUUAAAUAAUGUGCUAUGCCUUUUUAGAUAGAUUGUCUGAAUCAUAUCUCAGUUAUGAUUAUCUGUUGUUUAUGCAUCAUUACUAGAUAUUUUGUACUAAACUGAUCUGAGCAAAUGUUUUGUGUGGGAGGCCGACCUCCACGACGUGCUCCUCUUCCUCUACACCCAGUCCUACAAGCGCCUUGUGCCAAGGCCUCGAUUCCAUCCAUUUGCUCCCGUGUAGCAUGCUGGCUCGCCACGGUUUAUCAAGGAGCAAAGCAUCCCGGCCAUCUCUCUCUCUCUCUCUCUCUCUCUCUCUCUCUGAUGUCAACCUCGGUUGCCUUUUAUUUUCAGAUCUGCAAUGGCCUGAAGAAUGAGGCAAUCCUUGGAAGCAUCACAUACAUGUGAUCCCCCCUCUCACUCUGAUUCCAAGGUUAUGUUGCUGAUGGUAGGUGUCACUCUGGAUUGCAGAAAACAUGAUAAGAGCAUGGAGAUGGAUUGCUGCAUAUAUAUGCUGCCCACACUACCAUUUUCUUGAUCAUAAAACAUGAUAAGAGCAUGGAUGGAUUGCUGCAAAUUCAUGUUGUUGUUGCGGGAUCAUGUCGGCCCUCCCUUGUGCUAGCCAGCCAUCAGCAACUGCGUUUGGUUCAUGCGGACGCGACUGUGGCUCGCUGUGGUGCUCCUCUCAUGUCGCCUCUUCUUCCUCGCGGGCUUCUUUGGCUCCCUCCUCUUCACCCAGGAUACACAGGGGGAGGAGGACAUGGAGCGGCCACUGCCAAGGGAACGGCUGCUCUAUUUACCCUUAUUGUCGGUUUCACUUGCCUAGCCUAGGCCUGCACUCGCGUCACGCCUUUUCCUCUCCCUGCCACCUCGCCUCUCUCCCUGCUUGCUCGUUGCCCCGGUCGUCUCUGAUGGUGCUCCUAGAUGUGCUAUACAUCACCUCCUCACCUCCUUGGCCACUUCGGUGCCCAUGGCUUUCGUGCUCGUCGACGGGAUGGUGCAAGGCGCAACUCCGACGUGGUUCCUCACUGGUUGGAUGGCGUUCAGGCGCAACCCCGGUGCCCUCUGAGUGUUGCCUCAGCUACAACCUCCCUCUGUGAGCUCCAUCUUCCCCUGCUCUGCUUCAGCUACUAUAUGGGACAUAGCCAGGGCUAUGAUGAUCAAUUAUGGCUGAUAUAGGCAUGCUCUCAAGCAGUCGAGGCACUUGUGGGUAUUAAUUUGGAUCCUCCCUUGUUUCUUUGAGCUAUUUUGAUCACGUUCUUAUUUUAGUGGCUCUGUCCUUGGAUGGUCAUUUCUAAUGAGUGAUAACCAGGGCAGUUAAACCCUCGUAAGAACAUAUUGAUCCGGUGAUCCAUCCAGAAAUCCAGAAAUAAGUCCAUCCAGAAAUAAGAAUAUAAGCUCCUCAGGCCGCUCCUCGGUGAUUUGGGAUUCCUGACCGUCGGAUCUGGUUGCUUGAUGGAUCUUGGGCUGUCGGAUCAACCCCUGUAACGACCUCGUCCGUCGGAUAAAAAAAGUUACUGCUGGAAUGAAUAGUUACUCCCAAAAUGAGAUAUCUCGUGCCACCGCGUUUGAAUCACGUGCCACAUCAGUCGGAAGCCAUUCUUUAUAGGGCGAUGAUGAUUAGCCGUGGGUAUCAAGUUGGGUCCUCCCUCUUGUCUCUAGAAUCCUUUUUGAUCCUGUGAUACUUAUUGUUCUGUCCUUUGGAUGGUCAUUCUUAUUGAGUGAUAACCAGGGCAGCUCCACUGUAUAAACAGAUUGAUCUGGUGAUAAGAGAUGAUGGGGGUAGAUUAUAUGAUCAAGGAAAGGCAAAUCUGAGCCCAUA